UACGUAGGCGGUUAAAUAAGUCAGGUGUAAAAGGCAUUGGCUCAACCAAUGUAAGCACUUGAAACUGUUUGACUUGAGUAUAGGAGAGGUAAGUGGAAUUCCUAGUGUAGCGGUGAAAUGCGUAGAUAUUAGGAGGAACACCAGUGGCGAAGGCGACUUACUGGACUAUUACUGACGUUGAGGUACGAAAGCGUGGGGAGCAAACA
rnacentral:rRNA from 1 species